rnacentral:rRNA from 1 species
UACGUAGGGGGCAAGCGUUGUCCGGAUUUAUUGGGCGUAAAGAGCGUGUAGGCGGCCACACAGGUCUGCUGUGAAAACUCGAGGCUCAACCUCGAGCUGUCGGUGGAAACCGUGUGGCUAGAGUCCGGAAGAGGAGAGUGGAAUUCCCGGUGUAGCGGUGAAAUGCGCAGAUAUCAGGAGGAACACCGGUGGCGAAGGCGGGUCCCUGGGCCGAUACUGACGCUGAGGAGCGAAAGCGUGGGGAGCGAACAGG